AAACUGUUUGUGAUCUCUGAGUCUCACUCUUAGGGACCCAUUGUGAGUGACCUUGUGGUGCAGCUGCUGCCCGAGGUCCUGCUGGACGUCCACGGCAGCAUGACCACUGCAGCUGGACUAGCUCUCCCCACCCAGGUAGCAAUGUAUCAAGAACCUUUACCCCACAUCCUCACCGACACUUAUUGUUAUAUUUAUUUUUGAUAAUUGCCAUUCUAACUGUAGUCAGGUGGAAUCUCAAUGUAGUUUUGAUUUGCAUUUCUCUAAUUGAUAGAGAGUUGAACCUAUUUUAUAUAUUUUUGACAAUUCAUUUUUCUUCUUCAGUGAAAUUUCUGUUUAACUCCUUAGCCCAUUUAUUCAUUUUUUUUUAUUUGGGGGAUUUUGGGUGUUAAUUUGAGUUCUUUGUAUAUAUUCUGGACAUUAAUGCUCUAUCUGAGGUGCUAGUGGUAAAGAUUUUCUCCCAUUCUCUUCAUGUUCUUGUUUCCUUUGCUGGGAAGAAGUGUCUUAGUUUGAUAGCAUCCCAUUGAUUGAUUCUUGAUUUUACUUCUUUUGCUUUAGGAGACUCGUUAAGGAAGUCAGUUCCUAAGCCAACGGGGUAAAGAUUGGGGCCUGCUUUUUCUUCUACUAUGUGCAGAGUCUCUGGUCUAAAUGUCUAGGUCUUUGAUCCACUUUGAGUUGAGUUUUGUGCCGGGUGAGAGAUAGAGGUUCAGUUUCACUCUACUACAUAUGGAUUUCCAGUUUUCCCAAUCUUUUCUCCAAUAUAUGUUUAUGGCACCUUUGUCUAGUAUGAGAUACCUGUAUAAGAAAAGACUAAGACACAGAGAAGACACAGGAAGUGCCAUCUACAAACCAAGAGGAGAGGUCUCCAACCUGCCCACAACUGAUCUGACUUCCACCUUGAAAGCUGGGAGAGAGCGGCCUCUGUUGUCUACACUGCCAGACUGCUUCCUUGUUACGGUGGCUUUGCUCUUCUAAGAGCCAUUUGUGAGUCUCUGGAACUACUGGCCCCAGGAAUGAAGGAAGGGGGCAUAACCAGGGGAAGGCCAGUUUGCUCUGCCCAAACUGUGAGUGCAGGGCUACCUUUGCCAACAGUAGCUCAUCCCUGCAGAAGCAUCCUCAGGGUGGCUGAGCACCCCUUGAUGUUUCCUGAACAGCUGCCUUGUGGUGGUUUCUGGGCUUCAGGGGUCUGGGGAGGAGAAAGGAAACCAAAUACAGUCCAGCACACUCUUCUGUGCAAGCCCAAGGAACAGGGAGAACACUGAAGGAAAAAAACCUUCCAUUCCUGUGACCGUAUUGGGACCAGUGGCUAUUCCACCGUGGUCUGCUGCUGCUCCUCAGAGUUUCAAAGACACUUGGGAACCUCAUACUGAUCUUGUUUCCUCCCCUCCCUGCAUCCACUCCAAUGCUUAAUUUGUUUGGCUCUUCUAAUUCCCCUUGACUAUUACUUAUGGUGGAUAUUCCUUGGUGGUUCAGUAUGAACUCGAAUCUUAUUUUGGAGAUGAGACUCAGAAGGUCACCAAGUUCCUCAGAGCCAUGUGUCAGCUUCAUUCUCACUGCUCAGUCUUCAGUGCAAACAGUUUUACCCCAUGUCACAAAUGCUUCCAGAGCCAGCUUUUAAUAGCACUAUGCCCUUACUAACAGCUUUCAGCAAUGUCCACGCUCCGCAAGUAUUCUUCUUAACUCCCUGAGGAGUCCUGUCCUGUCCCUGCAACUACGACCCCAGAAGGGAAAUAGAGGCAUGGAGUCCCAAACUUGCACCUCAGGUCUAGGCACCCAUUCCACACCAAAGAGGGGUAUCUGCACCCAUUGUUCCAGCAGCAAAUGACAGCUGGGUAAGUGUGUAGUUACUGCAGGAAAGUUUCAUGUUAUCCCAGGAAUCUUAGCAUGUGUGUCCUCUGUAACACAUUCAUGCUCUCUGGGCUUGGACACAAAGGUAUCUUUAUAGACAGGGGAAGUCAUUUGCUGGGGAAACAUAGGCAGGUUGCCACCCCCAUCCACCUGCGUGGGACCGCCCACACCUCCCGUUCACCUUUUCCUGUGAGCAGCAGUGGCUAUUUGCCUCCCUACCAUCCCUCCCCCAUUUGCCUGAGCCCACAGCAUUCACUCUGAGGCUUCAGGCUGAGAUGUGUUGGAAUGGUAAGGCCCUGAGGGGGGAACUAGGUGCCCAGUGUGUGAUCCUGCAUCUCUCCUGGGGGGAACAUACUUUAUGAAAGGGGAUCUGUAAUCUCUGCAUUUGUUAUGAGAGAAUAGCACUUCCUGCCACAGAAAAACAAGUCAUUUCUUAUCCCAUGCAGACACUCUCAAAUAUGAUGUAAAACUAAAUACCGUUAAAAGACUGUAAGAAGCCAGGUGCAGUGGAGCACGCCUGUAAUCGCAGCAACUCGGAAGGCCGAGGCAGGAGGAUCCAAGUUCAAAGUCAGCCUCAGCAACUUAGUGAGGCCCUAAGCAGCUCAGUGAGACCCUCUCUCUAAAUAAAAUUGAAAAUAGGGCUGUGGAUGUGGCUGAGUGGUCAAGUGACCGAGUUCAAUCACCAGAACCUAAUGAUGAUGAUAACAACAACAACUAAAAAAGAGAUGAAUUAAAUAAUG
rnacentral:lncRNA from 1 species